AUGCGCAGGGGCCUCGGCAGCGAGGCGUUGGUGCGCCGGCACCGCGCAUGGGUGCAGUUGUGGGUCGCGGUCACGGCGCUGGUUACCGGCACCAUCUGGCUCUGGUCCUCUUCCUCUGUUGUCCUCUUCGGCACCCACAAGGUCCAGGAUUUUGUUGUAGAUGAGUUGUGGAGAACUGUAGAUUCAAAUGGUUGGAGAGCAUCUUCUGCACCACGCACCUAUUGGCCUCCCCCACCAACUGAAUCUGGGAGCAAUGGGUACUUGCGUGUCCGGUGUAAUGGUGGCUUGUCCCAACAACGAAGUGCAAUAUGUAAUGUUGGCGCUCUACCCAUGGAUUCCGGCAUUAGCUUGAAACGCUCAGGACAAAUUGGGUCUCGGCCAAUGGUGGAGAAGACGGAGUACAGGGAUGAGCCGCUCGAGCACGGUUUGAUGGGAUGUUCGUGUGCAAGAUGCAGAAGUUCGCCAGAAGGAAGAAGAGUUGGGCGUCGAGGAGGAGAAGAAGGUGGUAUGCGAGGUGCUUGCAGGCCCAGCAGCAGGAGGCCGUCCUUGAGGUUAUUGAGGUGGAGGUCAACGGGGUGA
rnacentral:rRNA from 1 species